rnacentral:tRNA from 1 species
CGAUUUUUGGCGUAUGUCUGUCGGGUGAACUAUUUUGAUACUCUCCAUUUAUUUACCGAAUCCAAAU